AAAAACAACAACGACACAACUCCCAAAGGACACAAAAGCUAGUGUCGGAGAGGUCCAACACUGGACCAAUUAUUCUGAUGGAGAGCCCAGGCUACUUUCCACCUGUGUGAUUCCAACUCGGCGACAUCUGGAACAGGUGGAACCGCGGAGACGGCAGACAGUGGCAGAGAGAUGGCGGGGGAUGCAGGGAGGCAGCGAGGCCUGAGCACGGAGGACUCUGAGGCAGCGAGAAUGCUCUGCACGGUCCUGAGAUGGUGGAGACCCACAAAGAGUGCAACCAGGAGGGGCCCUGAUGGAAACGGCGGGCUCCGGGUGUAGGUGCCCCGCCUGGACCGCGGGCGCCGCUCAGGUGGUGGAUGGGGACGGAGGAGGAACGAAUGAAAAGGUGCUCAAUAAUCAUCACAUUUUGCUCCGGCGCAUAAGGAACAGAGGAGACUGCGAAGCAGCCACAGACGACCUGGUUUCCGAGGACGCGGCUCAGGAAGAUGGCAGGCGGCCCUUUGAACCCACAGGAAACGUAACUUUGUCUCAACUGAGUUUGCACAAAGCCCCAAGCCAAGAGCAGGAAGGAGAUCUUGUGCAACGGCAGAUGCUGAAACGGGAGGAGGGAUGGAUUUGGGGCGUAAGGCUGGUCCAGCUGCAAUCACCCUUGACCCUCCUGGUCCAGGACACGCGUUCUGGUGAUCAAGGUUCUGUGAAGUGGGCGCGACAGUGGCCUCGCCAGGAACCACGAGGCAGAGUCCAUGGGGUCACGCGUGGCAGGCUUGCCCAGGCAGAGCGCCGCCUGCAGUCGGCAUCUGUCACUCACACGAGAGCUUCUGCUCAGAGUGGCUCCUCUCCGCUGAGGUCCUUCUGAAGCUCUGGGGGCGGGGAGGCUCUGAUGACGUGCAGCAGCUGGGCACAUCCGCGUGCCAUUUUAGAGAAGUCUGCCCAUUUGGCACAGCUGUCCACUCUCUUGGAGUGAGGAGGUGAGUCAGUCGGGCCCUUGCUCUGGACCCCAGACUGUACAUGGGAGUCCAUGCCUGGCACACAGGGGAUCAGUUUCCCUGCUUGCUGGUCAAAGGAUUCCAGUUUCCAACAGGAAGGAAAAUAACAAUGAUGCUGACGAUAAUGAAAGCGACGGAGCUCCAUGUCCAGGCACUGGGCCAAGAGCUGUUCCUGGUUUGGGUUUUUCAUUUUAUUUUCAUGCAUUAAAAAAAAAAAAAAUGUUUUAACGGCUGCACCUGCAGCACAUGAAAGUUCCUGAGCUGGGGUCAAAUCAGAGCUGCAGCUGAGGCCAACCCCACAGCCACACUGGUCCAGGUCGCAGCUGUGACCUAUGCUGAGCUUGUGGCAACGCCAGGACCUUAAACCACUGAGUGAGGCCAGGGAGUGAACCCGCAUCCUCA
rnacentral:lncRNA from 1 species